CAACGCGGACGGGGCCACAUGUAUCAUCCAUCUAUAGUAGGAGCAACAUUGGAAACCUACAGGUAUGUUCAUCAUCACAUUGCUAUGCUUUGGAGCAACCGACUGACAUACCGGCUUCUGUUUCUUCGGUGGGCGAUGUGGAUCUGUCGGUGGUUGGCGUUGUGGCGGCGGUUGGUGUGUCUGCGUUGGAUGGGGAGUGCGGUUUGUUCCGGAGGAGUGGUGUGUUCUGCGGAGGUUCGCGGAGUGUGCUGGAGGGGAACCAGGGAGAUGUUGUUGGCCCUGAUGGCGUUCCUGCUGUUCAACGGAGAUCGCCGUGUGGGUGUGAUGAUGCAGGCGGUGACUUGACAAUUCAAAAAUUGUUACAGUCUCAAUCUCAUUUUACUGAAGGAAAUGCUGGUACGGGUAGCUUAGCUACGAUCGGGAAUUCUACAAAACAAAUCAGUUGCCUGUUGUACAUCUGGCCUAGGACUUCAGAUGAAAACUAGCCUCUUGGCUAACUCUGGCAUAUUUUGACUUGUCAUGUUAAUAUGCAUUGUCCUUGGAAUAAAAGAAAAUUCAAUUCAA